GGCAGAAGAAGGAUAAGGAUAAAGUGAGGCGACAAAUGAUGGCUUCCAUAGCAGAUCAGAAAUGGAAUUUUAUAGAACACAGUCAAAGGGGACAGGACACCACACCACCCUUGAAAAGAGGCUUCAAUAUUCUGCCUAAGUCCUUCUCGGAGCUAUCCAAUUAGCAUUCCAGGCUACGGAGCUGUUUUUCUCCAUGGGAUAAUUUUAAAAGUGUUGGACAACAAUGUAUUUGCACAUCAGCAUAUUCCCUCCUAGUAAGAGAGAAAAAUUGCCUGGAUUUUUGUAUGAACAAACACAUGUCCUGUUUUUUGAUCAGUGGUCAAAGAAAGUAGAAGCCCAGCAGUAGUAAAGAUGCUUUGGAAAAUGAAAAACAAUGAGGACUGGAGAUGUUGCUGAACUACAACUUGCAGGCGGUCUAGCCAUUAUGGCCACAAAUGAGAGUGCUUUCUAAUUAUCCAGCAUUAGCUGGAAAGUCACCGGUUCCCCAAUCUGGAUAAAGGAUGCUAAUUUAAAUUUAUGCUGGUUCCAUCAUUUGGCUGUAAGUUUUCAUGGAUCAUAUUCUGGAACAAUAAAAUACAAGUUAUGGCCUUCAGGAUAAUAAUAUUUCAGUUACUUGAAAAAUGCUAUUACCCUCCCCAU